rnacentral:rRNA from 1 species
UCGACGAUGAUCCCAGCUUGCUGGGGGAUUAGUGGCGAACGGGUGAGUAACACGUGAGUAACCUGCCCUUAACUCUGGGAUAAGCCUGGGAAACUGGGUCUAAUACCGGAUAUGACUCCUCAUCGCAUGGUGGGGGGUGGAAAGCUUUAUUGUGGUUUUGGAUGGACUCGCGGCCUAUCAGCUUGUUGGUGAGGUAAUGGCUCACCAAGGCGACGACGGGUAGCCGGCCUGAGAGGGUGACCGGCCACACUGGGACUGAGACACGGCCCAGACUCCUACGGGAGGCAGCAGUGGGGAAUAUUGCACAAUGGGCGAAAGCCUGAUGCAGCGACGCCGCGUGAGGGAUGACGGCCUUCGGGUUGUAAACCUCUUUCAGUAGGGAAGAAGCGAAAGUGACGGUACCUGCAGAAGAAGCGCCGGCUAACUACGUGCCAGCAGCCGCGGUAAUACGUAGGGCGCAAGCGUUAUCCGGAAUUAUUGGGCGUAAAGAGCUCGUAGGCGGUUUGUCGCGUCUGCCGUGAAAGUCCGGGGCUCAACUCCGGAUCUGCGGUGGGUACGGGCAGACUAGAGUGAUGUAGGGGAGACUGGAAUUCCUGGUGUAGCGGUGAAAUGCGCAGAUAUCAGGAGGAACACCGAUGGCGAAGGCAGGUCUCUGGGCAUUAACUGACGCUGAGGAGCGAAAGCAUGGGGAGCGAACAGGAUUAGAUACCCUGGUAGUCCAUGCCGUANACGUUGGGCACUAGGUGUGGGGNACAUUCCACGUUUUCCGCGCCGUAGCUAACGCAUUAAGUGCCCCGCCUGGGGAGUAC